rnacentral:rRNA from 1 species
AACGAACGCUGGCGGCAGGCCUAACACAUGCAAGUCGAGCGAGGACUUCGGUCCUAGCGGCGGACGGGUGAGUAACGCGUGGGAACGUGCCCUUUGCUUCGGAAUAGCCCUGGGAAACUGGGAGUAAUACCGGAUGAGCCCUUUGGGGGAAAGAUUUAUCGGCGAAGGAUCGGCCCGCGUUGGAUUAGGUAGUUGGUGGGGUAAUGGCCUACCAAGCCGACGAUCCAUAGCUGGUUUGAGAGGAUGAUCAGCCACACUGGGACUGAGACACGGCCCAGACUCCUACGGGAGGCAGCAGUAGGGAAUCUUAGACAAUGGGGGAAACCCUGAUCUAGCCAUGCCGCGUGAGCGAUGAAGGCCUUAGGGUUGUAAAGCUCUUUCAGCUGGGAAGAUAAUGACGGUACCAGCAGAAGAAGCCCCGGCUAACUCCGUG